rnacentral:rRNA from 1 species
GACGAACGCUGGCGGCGUGCUUAACACAUGCAAGUCGAACGCUGAAGCUCAGCUUGCUGGGUGGAUGAGUGGCGAACGGGUGAGUAACACGUGAGUAACCUGCCCUCUUCUUUGGGAUAACGCCCGGAAACGGGUGCUAAUACUGGAUAUUCACUGAUUCUCGCAUGGGGGUUGGUGGAAAGGUUUUUUCUGGUGGGGGAUGGGCUCGCGGCCUAUCAGCUUGUUGGUGGGGUGAUGGCCUACCAAGGCUUUGACGGGUAGCCGGCCUGAGAGGGUGACCGGUCACAUUGGGACUGAGAUACGGCCCAGACGCCGACGGGAGGCAGCAGUGGGGAAUAAUGCACAAUGGGCGAAAGCCUGAUGCAGCGACGCCGCGUGAGGGAUGGAGGCCUUCGGGUUGUAAACCUCUUUCGCUCAUGGUCAAGCCGCAGCUUUGGGUUGUGGUGAGGGUAGUGGGUAAAGAAGCGCCGGCUAACUACGUG